rnacentral:rRNA from 1 species
UACGUAGGGUGCGAGCGUUGUCCGGAAUUAUUGGGCGUAAAGAGCUCGUAGGCGGCCUGUCGCGUCGGAUGUGAAAGCCCGGGGCUUAACCCCGGGUCUGCAUUCGAUACGGGCAGGCUAGAGUUCGGUAGGGGAGAUCGGAAUUCCUGGUGUAGCGGUGAAAUGCGCAGAUAUCGGGAAGAACACCCGUGGCGAAGGCGGCACUCUGGGACGGUACUGACGCUGAGACGCGAAAGCGUGGGGAGCGAACAGG